AGAGUUUGAUCCUGGCUCAGGAUGAACGCUAGCGACAGGCUUAACACAUGCAAGUCGAGGGGCAGCACAGGUAGCAAUACCGGGUGGCGACCGGCGCACGGGUGAGUAACGCGUAUGCAACUUGCCUAUCAGAGGGGGAUAACCCGGCGAAAGUCGGACUAAUACCGCAUGAAGCAGGGGCCCCGCAUGGGGAUAUUUGCUAAAGAUUCAUCGCUGAUAGAUAGGCAUGCGUUCCAUUAGGCAGUUGGCGGGGUAACGGCCCACCAAACCGACGAUGGAUAGGGGUUCUGAGAGGAAGGUCCCCCACAUUGGUACUGAGACACGGACCAAACUCCUACGGGAGGCAGCAGUGAGGAAUAUUGGUCAAUGGGCGUAAGCCUGAACCAGCCAAGUCGCGUGAGGGAUGAAGGUUCUAUGGAUCGUAAACCUCUUUUAUAAGGGAAUAAAGUGCGGGACGUGUCCCGUUUUGUAUGUACCUUAUGAAUAAGGAUCGGCUAACUCCGUGCCAGCAGCCGCGGUAAUACGGAGGAUCCGAGCGUUAUCCGGAUUUAUUGGGUUUAAAGGGUGCGUAGGCGGCCUUUUAAGUCAGCGGUGAAAGUCUGUGGCUCAACCAUAGAAUUGCCGUUGAAACUGGGGGGCUUGAGUAUGUUUGAGGCAGGCGGAAUGCGUGGUGUAGCGGUGAAAUGCUUAGAUAUCACGCAGAACCCCGAUUGCGAAGGCAGCCUGCCAAGCCAUGACUGACGCUGAUGCACGAAAGCGUGGGGAUCAAACAGGAUUAGAUACCCUGGUAGUCCACGCAGUAAACGAUGAUCACUAGCUGUUUGCGAUACACUGUAAGCGGCACAGCGAAAGCGUUAAGUGAUCCACCUGGGGAGUACGCCGGCAACGGUGAAACUCAAAGGAAUUGACGGGGGCCCGCACAAGCGGAGGAACAUGUGGUUUAAUUCGAUGAUACGCGAGGAACCUUACCCGGGUUUGAACGCAUUCGGACCGAGGUGGAAACACCUUUUCUAGCAAUAGCCGUUUGCGAGGUGCUGCAUGGUUGUCGUCAGCUCGUGCCGUGAGGUGUCGGCUUAAGUGCCAUAACGAGCGCAACCCUUGCCACUAGUUACUAACAGGUAAAGCUGAGGACUCUGGUGGGACUGCCAGCGUAAGCUGCGAGGAAGGCGGGGAUGACGUCAAAUCAGCACGGCCCUUACAUCCGGGGCGACACACGUGUUACAAUGGCGUGGACAAAGGGAAGCCACCUGGCGACAGGGAGCGAAUCCCCAAACCACGUCUCAGUUCGGAUCGGAGUCUGCAACCCGACUCCGUGAAGCUGGAUUCGCUAGUAAUCGCGCAUCAGCCAUGGCGCGGUGAAUACGUUCCCGGGCCUUGUACACACCGCCCGUCAAGCCAUGGGAGCCGGGGGUACCUGAAGUCCGUAACCGCGAGGAUCGGCCUAGGGUAAAACUGGUGACUGGGGCUAAGUCGUAACAAGGUAGCCGUACCGGAAGGUGCGGCUG
rnacentral:rRNA from 1 species